rnacentral:rRNA from 1 species
AUGCCGCUCCUCCACGGCGCCAGCCUCCGGGCGCUCCUCGCCGGCGCCGCCGUCGCCCACCUCUCUUCCUCUCCCAUCGUGCGCGCCUCCCCGUGCGCUCCUCCCCAGCCGCUGCGGCUCCGCGCCUUCGCCUCCCACAGCGCCUCGGAACCUCCGCCGCCGCCCCCCUCCUCGCCAUCGCCCUCGACCUCGCGGGUCCUCGCCUCUGCGGCCGCGGCGUGCGACUGCGAGGAGGGAGCGAAGCCCGCGAUCUGCACGGCGGACGAGCUGCACUACGCGCCCGUGCCAGGCACCGAGUGGCGGCUCGCGCUUUGGAGGUACCGCCCGCCGCCUGAGGCGCCCAAGAGGAACCACCCACUGAUGCUGCUGUCCGGAGUGGCCACCAAUGCGGUGGGAUUCGACCUGUCCCCUGGGGCUUCCUUUGCCCGUCAUAUGUCUAUGCAAGGGUUUGAUACAUGGAUUGUUGAGUUGCGUGGUGCAGGCCUCAGCACACGUGGAUCAGAAUUAGCUGCAGCUAGCACCAAGUCUGACAUGUCCUCUAAUUCAGGUGUGGAUAAAAUUUUGACACAGAAAGUAAAUGUUGUUCCUCCUGCCAAGGAUAUGUCAACUAAUGAACCUCAAAGUUCUGAAGUUCCAGUACUAACAGACACGAAUGUGCUAGAAACAAACACAUCAGAAGAACCACAACUGGUGACAAAGUUAGCAAAUGCUUUGGCACAAUUGAGUGUAACAUUUUCAGUCUAUGUAAGAGAUAGCCAACUCAGAAACAUCACUGACAGUUUUUUUGAUCGAGUGACAGAACUUGUCCCUGAUGCCUCAUUAACUAGUAGUCUUGAGGAGGUUGCAGAUAAAUUUCUAGGGUUGAUGGAAUUGCCACAGACAUCAGCAAUAUAUGAUCAAAUUAGCCAAUUAAGUCAGCGCCUUGUGAAGAUUCUUGGGGAAGGUCAACAAAAUGUUUCCCCUCGGUUAUUUGGCUGGCAAGAACGCCUCUCCGCAACCAUAGAAGAUCUCCAAAAGCAGUUGGAGCUGAUUAUUAGCUAUGAUUGGGACUUUGACCAUUACCUGGAGGAAGAUGUACCUGCAGCGAUAGAUUAUAUAAAACAGCAGAGUGUACCCAAGGAUGGAAAAUUGCUUGCUAUUGGUCACUCUAUGGGAGGAAUCUUGUUGUAUGCAAUGGUUUCGAAGUGUGGAUUCGAAGGGGCUGAUCCAGAGCUGGCAGCGAUUGUUACUCUGGCCUCAUCAGUUGACUACACAACAUCCAACUCCUCGCUCAAGUUAUUUGUGCCUCUUGCAGAUCCAGCUGAGAUGUUGCGUGUUCCUGCUGUCCCACUAGGAACAUUACUAUCAACCACUUAUCCUAUAUCAUCUCGUGCACCAUACAUAUUGUCACUGCUACGCUCUCAAAUUUCAGCCAAGGAUAUGAUGGAUCCUGAACUGCUUUCAAAGCUCAUCUUGAAUAACUUCUGCACAGUACCAGCAAAGGUGUUAUUACAGUUGGCGACCUCAUUCCGUGACGGUGGGCUGCGAAACAGGGCUGGUACUUUUUUCUUCAAAGAGCAUCUGCGGAAAAUCAAAGUUCCGGUGCUUGCCCUUGCUGGAGACGAGGAUCUGAUUUGCCCCCCAGAAGCUGUUUACGAAACCGUGAAAGUAAUUCCUCAGCAUCUGGUCACCUAUAAGGUUUUUGGUAAACCUGAAGGCCCUCACUAUGCACAUUAUGACCUGGUUGGAGGGCGGAAGGCUGUCCAUGAAGUGUACCCUUGCAUAAUAGAGUUCCUCUCUCAACAUGAUGAUGUGUCUUCUUAA